rnacentral:tRNA from 1 species
CUCUGAAUAGCAUAGUGGUAUUGCGCCGGACUGUAAUGUCUACCUCCCGUCCGAUUGGACGAGUAAUCCGUAGGUCCCCUGUUCGAAUCAGGGUUCAGAGA